rnacentral:rRNA from 1 species
GACGAACGCUGGCGGCGUGCUUAACACAUGCAAGUCGAACGGAAAGGCCCCUUUGUGGGUACUCGAGUGACUAACGGGUGAGUAACACGCGAGUAACCUGCCCUUGACUUCGGUAUAACUUCAGGAAACUGGGUCUAAUACCGGAUAGGAAUCCUUGCUUCAUGGUGGGGGUUGGAAAGCAUCGGCGGGUUUGGGUGGACUCGCGGCUUAUCAGCUUGUUGGUUGGGUAGGGGCUUACCAAGGCUUGGACGGGUAGCCGGCCUGCGAGGGCGAACGGCCACAUUGGGACUGAGAUAAGGGCCAGACUCCCACGGGAGGCAGCAGGGGGGAAUAUUGCACAAUGGGCGGGAGGCUGAUGGCGCAACGGCGGGGGCGGGAUGAAGGGCUUCGGGUUGUAAACCGCUUUCAGCAGGGGAGAAGCUUGUGGUGACGGUACCUGCAGAAGAAGCACCGGCUAACUACGUG